CAGCACCUCAAGUGGUCAGGAUGAUUAUUGGGCCUAAAGCAUCCGUAGCCUGCUUUGUUAGUUUUCGGUUAAUUCCAUACGCUCAACGUAUGGGCUGCCGGGAAUACUGCAAAGCUAGGGAGUGGGAGAGGUAGACGGUACUCGGUAGGAAGGGGUAAAAUCCUUUGAUCUAUUGAUGACCACCUGUGGCGAAGGCGGUCUACCAGAACACGUCCGACGGUGAGGGAUGAAAGCUGGGGGAGCAAACCGGAUUAGAUACCCGGUAGUCC
rnacentral:rRNA from 1 species